rnacentral:rRNA from 1 species
UUAAGCGACUAAGCGUACACGGUGGAUGCCCUGGCAGUCAGAGGCGAUGAAGGACGUGCUAAUCUGCGAUAAGCGUCGGUAAGGUGAUAUGAACCGUUAUAACCGGCGAUUUCCGAAUGGGGAAACCCAGUGUGUUUCGACACACUAUCAUUAACUGAAUCCAUAGGUUAAUGAGGCGAACCGGGGGAACUGAAACAUCUAAGUACCCCGAGGAAAAGAAAUCAACCGAGAUUCCCCCAGUAGCGGCGAGCGAACGGGGAGCAGCCCAGAGCCUGAAUCAGUAUGUGUGUUAGUGGAAGCGUCUGGAAAGGCGCGCGAUACAGGGUGACAGCCCCGUACACAAAAAUGCACAUGCUGUGAGCUCGAUGAGUAGGGCGGGACACGUGGUAUCCUGUCUGAAUAUGGGGGGACCAUCCUCCAAGGCUAAAUACUCCUGACUGACCGAUAGUGAACCAGUACCGUGAGGGAAAGGCGAAAAGAACCCCGGCGAGGGGAGUGAAAAAGAACCUGAAACCGUGUACGUACAAGCAGUGGGAGCACGCUUAGGCGUGUGACUGCGUACCUUUUGUAUAAUGGGUCAGCGACUUAUAUUCUGUAGCAAGGUUAACCGAAUAGGGGAGCCGAAGGGAAACCGAGUCUUAACUGGGCGUUAAGUUGCAGGGUAUAGACCCGAAACCCGGUGAUCUAGCCAUGGGCAGGUUGAAGGUUGGGUAACACUAACUGGAGGACCGAACCGACUAAUGUUGAAAAAUUAGCGGAUGACUUGUGGCUGGGGGUGAAAGGCCAAUCAAACCGGGAGAUAGCUGGUUCUCCCCGAAAGCUAUUUAGGUAGCGCCUCGUGAAUUCAUCUCCGGGGGUAGAGCACUGUUUCGGCAAGGGGGUCAUCCCGACUUACCAACCCGAUGCAAACUGCGAAUACCGGAGAAUGUUAUCACGGGAGACACACGGCGGGUGCUAACGUCCGUCGUGAAGAGGGAAACAACCCAGACCGCCAGCUAAGGUCCCAAAGUCAUGGUUAAGUGGGAAACGAUGUGGGAAGGCCCAGACAGCCAGGAUGUUGGCUUAGAAGCAGCCAUCAUUUAAAGAAAGCGUAAUAGCUCACUGGUCGAGUCGGCCUGCGCGGAAGAUGUAACGGGGCUAAACCAUGCACCGAAGCUGCGGCAGCGACGCUUAUGCGUUGUUGGGUAGGGGAGCGUUCUGUAAGCCUGUGAAGGUGUGCUGUGAGGCAUGCUGGAGGUAUCAGAAGUGCGAAUGCUGACAUAAGUAACGAUAAAGCGGGUGAAAAGCCCGCUCGCCGGAAGACCAAGGGUUCCUGUCCAACGUUAAUCGGGGCAGGGUGAGUCGACCCCUAAGGCGAGGCCGAAAGGCGUAGUCGAUGGGAAACAGGUUAAUAUUCCUGUACUUGGUGUUACUGCGAAGGGGGGACGGAGAAGGCUAUGUUGGCCGGGCGACGGUUGUCCCGGUUUAAGCGUGUAGGCUGGUUUUCCAGGCAAAUCCGGAAAAUCAAGGCUGAGGCGUGAUGACGAGGCACUACGGUGCUGAAGCAACAAAUGCCCUGCUUCCAGGAAAAGCCUCUAAGCAUCAGGUAACAUCAAAUCGUACCCCAAACCGACACAGGUGGUCAGGUAGAGAAUACCAAGGCGCUUGAGAGAACUCGGGUGAAGGAACUAGGCAAAAUGGUGCCGUAACUUCGGGAGAAGGCACGCUGAUAUGUAGGUGAAGUCCCUCGCGGAUGGAGCUGAAAUCAGUCGAAGAUACCAGCUGGCUGCAACUGUUUAUUAAAAACACAGCACUGUGCAAACACGAAAGUGGACGUAUACGGUGUGACGCCUGCCCGGUGCCGGAAGGUUAAUUGAUGGGGUUAGCCGCAAGGCGAAGCUCUUGAUCGAAGCCCCGGUAAACGGCGGCCGUAACUAUAACGGUCCUAAGGUAGCGAAAUUCCUUGUCGGGUAAGUUCCGACCUGCACGAAUGGCGUAAUGAUGGCCAGGCUGUCUCCACCCGAGACUCAGUGAAAUUGAACUCGCUGUGAAGAUGCAGUGUACCCGCGGCAAGACGGAAAGACCCCGUGAACCUUUACUAUAGCUUGACACUGAACAUUGAGCCUUGAUGUGUAGGAUAGGUGGGAGGCUUAGAAGUGUGGACGCCAGUCUGCAUGGAGCCGACCUUGAAAUACCACCCUUUAAUGUUUGAUGUUCUAACGUUGACCCGUAAUCCGGGUUGCGGACAGUGUCUGGUGGGUAGUUUGACUGGGGCGGUCUCCUCCUAAAGAGUAACGGAGGAGCACGAAGGUUGGCUAAUCCUGGUCGGACAUCAGGAGGUUAGUGCAAUGGCAUAAGCCAGCUUGACUGCGAGCGUGACGGCGCGAGCAGGUGCGAAAGCAGGUCAUAGUGAUCCGGUGGUUCUGAAUGGAAGGGCCAUCGCUCAACGGAUAAAAGGUACUCCGGGGAUAACAGGCUGAUACCGCCCAAGAGUUCAUAUCGACGGCGGUGUUUGGCACCUCGAUGUCGGCUCAUCACAUCCUGGGGCUGAAGUAGGUCCCAAGGGUAUGGCUGUUCGCCAUUUAAAGUGGUACGCGAGCUGGGUUUAGAACGUCGUGAGACAGUUCGGUCCCUAUCUGCCGUGGGCGCUGGAGAACUGAGGGGGGCUGCUCCUAGUACGAGAGGACCGGAGUGGACGCAUCACUGGUGUUCGGGUUGUCAUGCCAAUGGCACUGCCCGGUAGCUAAAUGCGGAAGAGAUAAGUGCUGAAAGCAUCUAAGCACGAAACUUGCCCCGAGAUGAGUUCUCCCUGAC